rnacentral:rRNA from 1 species
CCUACGGGGGGCAGCAGUGGGGAAUAUUGGACAAUGGGGGGAACCCUGAUCCAGCCAUGCCGCGUGUGUGAAGAAGGCCCUCGGGUUGUAAAGCACUUUCAGUGAGGAAGAACGCCUGGUGGUUAAUACCCAUCAGGAAAGACAUCACUCACAGAAGAAGCACCGGCUAACUCCGUGCCAGCAGCCGCGGUAAUACGGAGGGUGCGAGCGUUAAUCGGAAUUACUGGGCGUAAAGCGCGCGUAGGUGGCUUGAUAAGCCGGUUGUGAAAGCCCCGGGCUCAACCUGGGAACGGCAUCCGGAACUGUCAAGCUAGUGUGCAGGAGAGGAAGGUAGAAUUCCCGGUGUAGCGGUGAAAUGCGUAGAGAUCGGGAGGAGUACCAGUGGCGAAGGCGGCCUUCUGGACUGACACUGACACUGAGGUGCGAAAGCGUGGGUAGCAAACAGGAUUAGAUACCCCUGGAGUC